rnacentral:rRNA from 1 species
AUACGGAGGGGGCUAGCGUUGUUCGGAAUUACUGGGCGUAAAGCGCACGUAGGCGGUUUAUCAAGUUAGGCGUGAAAGCCCCAGGCUCAACCUGGGAACUGCGUUUAAUACUGAUAAACUAGAGACCGGGAGAGGGUGGCGGAAUUCCCAGUGUAGAGGUGAAAUUCGUAGAUAUUGGGAAGAACACCGGUUGCGAAGGCGGCCACCUGGACCGGAACUGACGCUGAGGUGCGAAAGCGUGGGGAGCAAACAGGAUUAGAUACCCGAGUAGUCC